rnacentral:rRNA from 1 species
CCUACGGGAGGCAGCAGUGAGGAAUAUUGGUCAAUGGGCGGAAGCCUGAACCAGCCAAGUCGCGUGAGGGAUUAAGGCCCUGCGGGUCGUAAACCCCUUUUGCCGGGGAGCAGAGGUCCGGACGUGUCCGGGCCGGGAGAGUACCCGGAGAAAAAGCAUCGGCUAACUCCGUGCCAGCAGCCGCGGUAAUACGGGGGAUGCGAGUGUUAUCCGGAUUUAUUGGGGUUAAAGGGUGCGUAGGCGGGCAUUUAAGCCGGCGGUCAAAUGUCGGGGCUCAACCCCGGCCUGCCGUCGGAACGGGGUGCCUUGAGUGGGCGAGAAGUAUGCGGAAUGCGUGGUGUAGCGGUGAAAUGCAUAGAUAUCACGCAGAACCCCGAUUGCGAAGGCAGCAUACCGGCGCCCUACUGACGCUGAGGCACGAAAGUGCGGGUAUCGAACAGGAUUAGAUACCCCGGUAGUC